UACUGAUACAAUAUAUUGAUUAAGUAUAUUUAAUCAAUGGUAUAGUGUACGUUAUAUGGAUAAUUGUCUAAAGUCCCUUUGACCUGAAUAUUGAUAAAAUGAAAUACUUGAUUAUUGAAUAUUUAGCCAACUGAGCAACCGAGUGGAUGUGAAAAACAAAAGAAAAAAAUAAACAGAAGAACAUAUUUACAAGCUAAUAAGUGGUUUUUGUAUAAAAACAAAAAAAUUGACGACCGAAUGUAUGUAUUAAACUAUUAAACAUUAUAAAUUAAUAUGAACGAGCC